rnacentral:lncRNA from 1 species
AUGUUAAAAAUAUUAUGCUUGCUUCUAAAAUUGUGAAAUAUCCAAAUUAGGUUGAAUUGUGUGUUAAAAGGUUUAAGAGUAAUUUUGUGAAAUUUUUGGAGCCAUAGAAUUUGAGAAAUAGAAUUUAUACCAAAAAUCCCUAAAAUGAAUUUAUUUAAAAACCUAGAACUAGUUUUAAUCUGUGAUUCAAAUUCUCUUUGGAAUUUGGCUUUGCUUAUUAAAACAAAGUUGUAGGUAAUUUUAGGGGAAACAAUUCUUCUUUUUACCCC